CCCUGGUUAGCUCAGUUGGUAGAGCGCUCCACCUGUAAUGGAGAGGUCGCGGGUUCGAUACCCGGACCAGGCG
rfam:Ixodes scapularis strain Wikel colony gcontig_1107728915188, whole genome shotgun sequence.